rnacentral:lncRNA from 10 species
UGCCGUUGCGCCUGAGAACUCCCUCCCCGCCAACUUGAAAGGGGCGGGGCUCAUGCUUGUCCCCGGGUCCCACCAGCUCCGUGAAGCACCGCACCACCCCAAACUCGGCUCCACCUGGGGCCUCUCUCUGCCUUCCCCUCUCUUCCUGAAUGCUCUGCUUCCCCGCCAGACUCAGCCUGGUCCCAUCGCGGCAGUCCUCGGUGCAGGCUCUGGUGAUUGUCCGCCUAUUCUCCACACCCUCCCAGCAGUGGCCGCAGGGCCCGGGUCCCGAUCCCCGAGCAGCGGAGGCUCUGGGCCUGGGAGUGGGUCCCGCUUGACUGUGAGAGGGUGAGGGCAGCACAGUAGGCUGCCUCCAGGUUGCAGGGCACAGGGGUCCUACCACUACCGCUGUUGCUCCUGCAGCCCCUCCUGCAGCCCCUCCUGCAGCCCCUCCUGCACCUCCCCUCCUGCAGCCCCUCCUGCACCUCCCCUCCUGCAGCCCCUCCUGCAGCCCCUCCUGCACCUCCCCUCCUGCAGCCCCUCCUGCACCUCCCCUCCUGCAGCCCCUCCUGCAGCCCCUCCUGCACCUCCCCUCCUGCAGCCCCUCCUGCACCUCCCCUCCUGCAGCCCCUCCUGCAGCCCCUCCUGCAGCCCCUCCUGCAGCCCCUCCUGCACCUCCCCUCCUGCAGCCCCUCCUGCAGCCCCUCCUGCACCUCCCCUCCUGCAGCCCCUCCUGCAGCCCCUCCUGCACCUCCCCUCCUGCAGCCCCUCCUGCAGCCCCUCCUGCAGCCCCUCCUGCAGCCCCUCCUGCACCUCCCCUCCUGCAGCCCCUCCUGCAGCCCCUCCUGCACCUCCCCUCCUGCAGCCCCUCCUGCAGCCCCUCCUGCACCUCCCCUCCUGCAGCCCCUCCUGCAGCCCCUCCUGCAGCCCCUCCUGCAGCCCCUCCUGCACCUCCCCUCCUGCAGCCCCUCCUGCAGCCCCUCCUGCAGCCCCUCCUGCAGCCCCUCCUGCAGCCCCUCCUGCACCUCCCCUCUACAGCUGGCAUGUUGGUAGCGGCCGCUCCGGAUGGCCGGUUGCUGCCAUCAACAGAAUGAGGUGCUGCUAGCAUAUUCUAUGCUGAAUAACCAUGAGGAUAGACACAGCCCAGUACUCAAUUCUUCAAGGUAUACAUAUUGGACACUUUCUUCUACAGUACCUGGUUCACAUCAGGUAUUAAUCCUUGGCAUAGAGUGUGAAGCUAUGUAAUUCUAAUCUCCCAUCUCCCAUUUUUAUGGGAUGCUGUCAUCACUAUUCCUGCUUGGGCAUUCACCAAACAGGAAUGCCAAAUGUUUCUGGCAAGAGCUGC